ensembl:lncRNA novel transcript, antisense to KIF27
CAUUGAUCCAAUGCCAACUCCAAGACUGGAACGUCGCAAUGAUAGUUCCAAGGCGGAAAUUUGACGUAAUUCUUUUCGACACAGUUUUACAGGUGUGACACCAUGAAGUCGUCCCACAUUUCCCACAACCUGAAUUUGGGAUGACAGUCGACUGUGAGAUUUUGUAAACUGAUUAUCAUCUGUUUCUGUUUUAUUCUCAUUACCUAACAUAUGCCCACUGGGGGGUGCUAAAGAACUAUGAAUUGGAGGUCUGGAUGCCCAUUUUAAUUCUUCUGAAAGCAUGCCUCCUCCUUCUGGCUUCAGGACUCCAUCUCCAGCCUCUUGAUCUAAAAAUAAUCCCCAAACCAAAAAAUUAGAUACUAUUUCCUCAAAAUUAGGUAUUUUAAUCAAAACAUCUUAACAUAAAUACAUUAUUAUCACCCAA